AUGGCAGUAAUGGAUGAGCAAACGUUCGGCGAAGCUUUGGAGCUUGAUAGUGCAAGAAACCGAGAUUCGGGCGUAAAUUGGAAAGUUCGAGGUUAUGGACUAAAAUGACGUAAUUAGCCAAAAUCGCAUUUGAGUGUUUUCAGG